AUUUAUAUAAUUUAAAAAAAAUCUUAUAUUUUCAUUAUAAAAAUAAUAAAUAAAUUUAUUUAUAAAUA
rnacentral:tRNA from 1 species